UUUAAAAUUUGUGCACGUUUAAUAAGCUUAUGCAUAAUAUGGAUUAAACUCGUGCUGGCUGGUAAAUAGCUCGAAAUUAUAUCAAGAAGCUUGCUAUUGUUCCGCAAGUGUAAAAUUUGUGUUCUUAACUGCGCCUAGGUGAAUAUAUUUGAGAAAGACUUUCUUUAGCUUAAUCAGGAUGUUAAAAUUAAAGUUUCCGGCUUUAGGCAACCGGAAGACACUUCGAUUGUUGGAAUUGAUGCAAGUACUCGUAGCGAGUUGGGUUUCAUGCAUAGAGUAUAAGCAUAUAUUCACCACGAAACAUUUAUUUCCAAAUCAGAUUGUUAAAGUUGGCAUGUUGGUUUUUCAAUUCAAAGCAAAAUUUCUCCACACUCGGAACUCUCUGCUUUGUUUCUCGUCAUGUGUUUUCUAAUAUGCGUUGAUUUUAGGAAGCUUCAAAACUUUUCUGCCAUACCCUAUUCCGAAAUGAGAAUCUUUGUAACACCCAGA